GACGAACGCUGGCGGCGUGCUUAACACAUGCAAGUCGAACGGAAAGGCCCUGCUUUUGUGGGGUGCUCGAGUGGCGAACGGGUGAGUAACACGUGAGUAACCUGCCCUUGACUUUGGGAUAACUUCAGGAAACUGGGGCUAAUACCGGAUAGGAGCUCCUGCUGCAUGGUGGGGGUUGGAAAGUUUCGGCGGUUGGGGAUGGACUCGCGGCUUAUCAGCUUGUUGGUGGGGUAGUGGCUUACCAAGGCUUUGACGGGUAGCCGGCCUGAGAGGGUGACCGGCCACAUUGGGACUGAGAUACGGCCCAGACUCCUACGGGAGGCAGCAGUGGGGAAUAUUGCACAAGGGGCGGAAGCCUGAUGCAGCAACGCCGCGUGCGGGAUGACGGCCUUCGGGUGGUAAACCGCUUUCGCCUGUGACGAAGCGUGAGUGACGGUAAUGGGUAAAGAAACACCGGCUAACUACGU
rnacentral:rRNA from 1 species